rnacentral:rRNA from 1 species
CCUACGGGUGGCUGCAGUCGAGAAUCAUUCACAAUGGGGGAAACCCUGAUGGUGCGACGCCGCGUGGGGGAAUGAAGGUCUUCGGAUUGUAAACCUCUGUUAUGUGGGAGCAAAUUAAAAAGAUAGUACCACAAGAGGAAGAGACGGCUAACUCUGUGCCAGCAGCUGCGGUAAUACAGAGGUCUCAAGCGUUGUUCGGAAUCAUUGGGCGGAAAGCGUGCGUAGGCUUUUUGGUAAGUCGGGUGUGAAAGUCGGGGGCUCAACCGGCGGACUGCACAUGAUACUGGGAUACUAGAGUAAUGGAGGGGGAGCCGGAAUUCGUGGUGUAGCAGUGAAAUGCGUAGAUAUCGAGAAGAACACUCAUGGCGAAGGCAGGUUCCUGGACAGUAACUGACGCUGAGGCACGAAGGCCAGGGGAGCGAAAGGGAUUAGAUACCCCAGUAGUC